GAAGCGAAGGCCGCUGCCAUGGAGGGGCAGCUGUACCGCCGCCUGCCGCCGGAGGAGACGGGGGAGCCGCGCCUCCAGCCUCAGGGAUCAGAAGAGGCCAAAGCGUUUAUAAGUGCCUUCCUGAAGCGCAGUAUGCCAAAAAUGAAAGAUGAAGCUAUCCAAGAUAUAUUAACUCGGAAAGCUGUAGUUCUUGAGCAUUAUUCCAAAAAAAAGGCAAAACAAAAGAGGAAAAAACCGAAAGGUUUUACUGCCAAGCAAAGGCGAGAACUGCGUCUUUUUGAAAUUGAACCUGAACAGCAAAGAUACACCCUCUUUCUACCACUGCAUGAACUCUGGAAACAGUAUAUCAGAGACCUGUGUCAUGGACUCAAACCAGAUGCGCAACCACAUAUGAUUCAGGGCAAACUGCUGAAAGCUGAUCUCCAUGGAGCUAUCGUUACAGGUACUCUGUUUGUUUUCUUUUAUACCUCAAGUUAAGAAGACACUCCUGUAUUUUAAGUGCUGCUUCUUACAUUCUUUUCCUAUUAAUCUAGAACCACAUAGCUGAGACCAUAUGUCAACGGAUUCUCUCUACUUAAUCAUACCAAUUACUUUUCAACUGCUCUUGAAAAUCACGCUCUUAGUUGCAAGUUUUACUCAUGAUUACUGUAAUCACAUUAUUUCAGAAUAUUGCAAACCAGUCUUUAAAAUGAUGAGGCUACUGUAGAAGAGCAAAUAAACUACCUGCAUCUGAAAUUUUCUAAUACACAUCUCUUCCAGUCACAAAAUCAAGGUGCCCAUCUUACGUUGGGAUAACAGGAAUCAUUCUACAGGAAUUUAAACAUGUCUUCAAAAUCAUCACUGAAGAGGACAAAUUAAAAGUUGUUCCCAAACUUCACAAUGUAUUUAGCUUGGAGAUUGAUGGGUUCAUUUCCUACAUCUAUGGAAGCAAGUUCCAGUUCAGAGCAAGUGAGCGAUCUGCAAAAAAAUUCAAGUUGAAAGGAACCAUUGACCUAUGAUUUUAUGGAACAUCAGAAGUAUUUCUAGAAAUGGGUGCUGUUUUCCUGCAGUUGAAAUAUCAGGUUCUGGGGCAUGUGGGAAAUAGCAUAGCUAUGUGAAAUCUUUCUGAAACUUUGCUUCUCACUGAAGAAUUAUUUGGAGUGUGUUACCUUUAAAGGAGUGUCUCAGACUGUUGGAACUUGUUGUGGUUUUUUAUUUGUAUGUAACAUUCUGCCUUAUUAAACUUAAAUGAUUUCUAUUGA